AAACUACAGACGGAGUGGAGGCAGAGAUUGAAGGAACACGGGUUUGGUGGGCCUUGAAGGGCAGCGUGCAGUCUAGUAUCGUUCUAAGAAGCACAGGAUUCUCCGCUGAGAAUUCUCUUCUACGAAGGGUUGACCACAACAGCCACCUUACAUCUCUUUAUCAUCACUCAGGCUGAGAGUUCGAUCCUUUGUCUCCAUAAUGAUUUGAACACGAGCAUCCUAGACCUGUGUGAGGGGAUACUUAAAAUCCAGAUAUGCAAUAUGUAUGCAGGGCCGCCACGCCAGUGUGAAGUUUGCUGUCACACUUGAAUGCAGCUCAUGAACUGAAAAGAUAACCAAGCUCAUCUACUUUCAAAUGAAGUA